AUCAACGCUUGGCGGGCGUGCCUACCACAUGCAAGUCGCACCGAGAAAGUGGAGCAAUCCAUGAGUAAAGUGGCGAACGGGUGAGUAACACGUGACUAACCUACCCUAAAGUGGGGGAUAACAUCGGGAAACCGGGGCUAAUACCGCAUAACCUCGCGAGGUGCAACUCCUUGCGAGCAAAGCAGCAAUGCGCUUAUGGAGGGGGUCGCGGGCCUGAUUAGCUAGUUGGCGGGGUAACGGCCCACCAAGGCGAUGAUCAGUAUCCGGCCUGAGAGGGCGCACGGACACACUGGAACUGAAACACGGUCCAGACUCCUACGGGAGGCAGCAGUGGGGGAAUUUUGCCGCAAUGGGGGAAACCCUGACGCAGCAACGCCGCGUGGAGGAUGAAGUCCCCUUGGGACGUAAACUCCUUUCGACCCGGACGAUAAUGACGGUACGGGUGGAAGAAGCCCCGGCUAAACUUCGUGCCAGCAGCCGCGGUAAUACGAGGGGGGCAAGCGUUGUUCGGAAUUAUUGGGCGUAAAGGGCGUGUAGGGCGGUUGCGGUAAGUCUGUGGUGAAAUCUCCGGGCUCAACUCGGAAAUUGCCGUGGAAACUGCCGUGCUUGAGUGUGGGAGAGGGAGAGUGGAAUUCCCGGUGUAGCGGUGAAAAUGCGUAGAUAUCGGGAGGAACACCCGUGGCGAAAGCGGCUCUCUGGACCACAACUGGACGCUGAGACGCGAAAGCUAGGGGUAGCGAAACAGGAUUAGAUACCCUGGUAGUCCUAGCCCUAAACGAUGGAUGUUUGGUGUGGCAGGUACCCAAUCCUGCCGUGCCCGGAGCUGACGCUGUUAAACAUCCCCGCCUGGGGGAGUACGGUCGCCAAGGCUGAAACUCAAAGGAAUUGACGGGGGCCCGCACAAGCGGUGGAGCAUGUGGUUCAAUUCGACGCAACGCGAAGAACCUUACCUGGGCUCGAAAUGCAGCGCAUCGGGGUGGAAACAUCUCUUCCCGCAAGGGGUGCUAGCAUAGGUGCUGCAUGGCUGUCGUCAGCUCGUGUUCGUUGAGAUGUUGGGUUAAGUCCCGCAAACGAGCGCAACCCUUAUCUCUAGUUGCUAGCGCGUUAUGGCGAGCACUCUAAGCGAAACUGCCCGGAUAACGGGGAGGAAGGUGGGGGAUGACGUCAAGUCCUCAUGGCCUUAUGUCCAGGGCUACACACGUGCUACAAUCGCCGGUACGAACCGUCGCAAACCCGUGAGGGGGAGCUAAUCGGAAAUAAGCCGGCGUCAGUUCGGAUUGAAAGUCUGCAACUCGACUUCAUGAAGCUGGAAUCGCUAGUAAUCGCAGAUCAGCAACGCUGCGGUGAAUACGUUCCCGGGCCUUGUACACACCCAGCCCGUCACAUCACGAAAGUGGGCUGCACUAGAAGCCGGUGGGCUAACCGCAAGGAAGCAGCCGUCCAAGGUGUAACUCAUGAUUGGGGUG
rnacentral:rRNA from 1 species